UACGUAGGGGGCGAGCGUUGUCCGGAUUCAUUGGGCGUAAAGCGCGCGCAGGCGGCUCGGUUAGUCGGGUGUGAAAACCCGGGGCUCAACCCCGGGCCUGCAUUCGAUACUGCCGGGCUAGAGGCAGGUAGGGGAGAGUGGAAUUCCUGGUGUAGCGGUGAAAUGCGCAGAUAUCAGGAAGAACACCAAUGGCGAAGGCAGCUCUCUGGGACGGUACUGACGCUGAGACGCGAAAGCGUGGGGAGCGAACAGG
rnacentral:rRNA from 1 species